UACGAAGGGUGCAAGCGUUACUCGGAAUCACUGGGCGUAAAGCGUGCGUAGGCGGUUCGUUAAGUCUGCUGUGAAAGCCCUGGGCUCAACCUGGGAACUGCAGUGGAUACUGGCGGACUAGAGUGUGAUAGAGGAUGGUGGAAUUCCCGGUGUAGCGGUGAAAUGCGUAGAGAUCGGGAGGAACACCAGUGGCGAAGGCGGCCAUCUGGAUCAACACUGACGCUGAGGCACGAAAGCGUGGGGAGCAAACAGGG
rnacentral:rRNA from 1 species